CCCUUAGACGUUCUGGGCCGCACGCGCGCUACACUGACGGAGCCAGCGAGCUUUUCCUUAACCGAGAGGUUUGGGUAAUCUUGUGAAACUCCGUCGUGCUGGGGAUAGAGCAUUGUAAUUAUUGCUCUUCAACGAGGAAUUCCUAGUAAGCGCAAGUCAUCAGCUUGCGUUGAUUACGUCCCUGCCCUUUGUACACACCGCCCGUCGCUCCUACCGAUGAAUCGUCCGGUGAAGUUCACAGAGUGGCGGUUCGUGGAGUUGCUCGCGAAGUGAAAUGGACCUCACGAUUUAGAGGAAGGAGAAGUCGUAACA
rnacentral:rRNA from 1 species